UAAAAAAGCAAGACAAAAAACAAAACACAAAAGCACUACAUGUGAGAUGCCACACAGCCAUACUGGCUCACCACAAGAACAGCACCCAAGUUUAGUGGAGUUUAGGGGAGGUUAGUGGAGUUUAGUGGAGUUUAGGGGAGGUUAGUGGAGUUUAGGGGAGUUAGUGGAGUUUAGUGGAGGUUAGUGGAGUUUAGUGGAGUUUAGGGGAGUUUAGUGGAGUUUAGGGGAGGUUAGUGGAGUUUAGGGGAGGUUAGUGGAGUUUAGGGGAGUUUAGUGGAGUUUAGUGGAGGUUAGUGGAGGUUAGUGGAGUUUAGUGGAAGUUAGUGGAGGUUAGUGGAGUUCAGGGAGGUUAGU
ensembl:lncRNA